rnacentral:rRNA from 1 species
UACGAAGGGGGCUAGCGUUGCUCGGAAUCACUGGGCGUAAAGGGUGCGUAGGCGGGUCUUUUAAGUCAGGGGUGAAAUCCUGGAGCUCAACUCCAGAACUGCCUUUGAUACUGAGGAUCUUGAGUUCGGGAGAGGUGAGUGGAACUGCGAGUGUAGAGGUGAAAUUCGUAGAUAUUCGCAAGAACACCAGUGGCGAAGGCGGCUCACUGGCCCGAUGCUGACGCUGAGACACGAAAGCGUGGGGAGCAAACAGG